AACGAACGCUGGCGGCAGGCCUAACACACGCAAGUCGAGCGCGCCCUUCGGGGUGAGCGGCGGACGGGUUAGUAACGCGUGGGAACGUACCCUUCUCUACGGAAUAGCCUUUGGAAACGAAGAGUAAUACCGUAUACGCCCUUUGGGGGAAAGAUUUAUCGGAGAAGGAUCGGCCCGCGUUAGAUUAGGUAGUUGGUGGGGUAACGGCCUACCAAGCCUACGAUCUAUAGCUGGUUUGAGAGGAUGAUCAGCAACACUGGGACUGAGACACGGCCCAA
rnacentral:rRNA from 1 species